UACCUACCAUUCUCCCACCUUGAUAGUGGACUGAACCUCUGACCUUGUAUUCCAGCCCCAAUUAAAUGUUGUUCUUAUAAGAGUUGCCUUGGUCAUGGUAUUUGGUCACAGCAGUAAAACCCUGACUAACACUGCCCCUACCCCGUUUAAGGCAAGGUCUCAUGUGGCCCAGGCUGGGCUUUAGACUUUUGAUUCUUCCACCUCUGUCUCCCAAACCCUGGGAUCAUGGACAGGUACCACUAUGCUCUGUGUACUACCCUUUAAAACCAGAUCCCCUAACACCAGCUGUGAGCCCUAGGUCUCAGCUGUCUGCUGUACUCAGGUAGACUCCUGCCCUGUGAUGGACUGGCUUGCUCCCUGUAAGUCUUCAUCCACUGAACCCUCUCACCAGUCAUCUCUCUCCUGUACGCUCUCAUCGCUGACACUUGCCGACAUUUCUCCUCUGCUUUUAUUUCCUUCCCCACUCUCUUGUCCUCGGGGACUCUUGUCCACUUAAUAGGAUUCUUUUCACUUUAAUAGGAGUUGGGAGAAGAAACGGGGAAGUACUUAUGUUCAAUCCACUGCUACUUACAGGAAGUGAUUUGGAAGGAAGGGCAGGUAGGCAUCUCCUCGGUUUCGAUUUUGAGAACAUCUACAAUUUGGAUCUGCCUGUGACCUUUUAACCUCCCACUUCCUGUAUUGACAGUCAUCUUUUGCUGAGUUCAGUCCCUCCACUGCCAGAAUGCUUGGUGUCCGGCUGCCCAGCUCUGCACCACAGGGGACAGUCCUUGGAGAGGAGGACAGCUGGUCCUUGUGCUCAGCAGCUCCCAGUUGGAUCCUGGGUGUUCACACUGGGGCUGCGAACCGUUUUCUGUUGCAACAUCCCCUGCUCAGCGUGAGACAAGAGCAGAAAGAACUCCCGUUUCCCCCUUGGGCUCUAUUUCUCCACAGAGCCUGCCUGAGAGCACUGAAGCAAGUCUCAACGGGAAAGAGAAAACUGCCGAUCACUUUCCUCAUCCGUCCAUCUGUCCGUUAGUCAGUCUGCAGCCCGUUUUCUCAAGAUUGGGUCUUGCUCAGGCUAGCCUCAAACAUACCAUCCUCCUGCCUCAGCCUUCUACAUUAUUUAGAUGAGGUCUCACAGUGGUACCUGGGCUAGCUACCCUUGAACUCUGGAUUCAAGCGGUCCUUUUGUCUCAAUUUCCUAAACAGCCAGAGCUGGCACUACUGAGCUUCGCUUUGUUAUCUCCUCACUCCGUGCUGGGUCUGACUCAAGGUCUCACCCAUGCACUCCCUGGCUCAUAUUACACCACAAGAGAAAGACUGUGUGGAUUUUUAAAACUCCCCUUUUCUCUUUCUCCUUUUCCUCCGUGACUUCCUCUUCCUUCUUUCAGUUUAGCAGGUUCUCUGAACUUAGGGGUUUUUUGGGUUCCGAUUGGGGAAAAGGAAUAAAGGUUGUCAGAGGUUAAGGAAGCACAGACGUCUCCCGGAUGAGCCAUCGCCCGCAGUGUGAAUGAAGCCUUGUUCUGCCCAGCACAGCGCUUUCUCGGCUCUCACCUCUUUUGCUGUGUCUGCAGUUUGGAAACCCUUCUACAGACUGAGGUUUGCUUAGGAAAAAUAUUUGUUUAAAUCCUUCAUUUCUCCCCCUCCCCCCCGUGGUCUUUAAAAACCAUUGUGGUUUUUAGUCUUGCCAUCAGCUUUUCUGGGCAUAUCGCACUUGUCUCCAGCUGUGACCUUUCUGGGGUCGUGAACUCUGCAGAACUCUAGAAGGGAUCUGGUGUUUCUGUGGGUAAGACAUUGGUGGUAAGGGCUGUGAGGGACUACAGGCACAUGCAGACAAAUGUCUCAGCCAGUGAGUGAGCAACAGCAUCUCCCUGGACCAUUGAGGGAUUCUGUUUUAAGACCCAAGCAGGAUUGACUUCUCCCUGUCCUUCUCCCUGUUCUCAAGGAGCAUCCAAUAGAGUUGUAGGACCUAAGGGAGAAGUUGUACGUCUUGUCAGACAGGAAAAUUUGGCAUUCCGUUGAAGGCCACAGGAGCCUGCAGAAGACGCUGACUGGUGUACUAUUCCGUGAGACUGUGGCAGACACAGGUAGACAUCUAUUUCUGCCCUCUUGGGCUGUGACCCUGCUUAUCGCUCCAGGUGGGAUGUAGACUCACAGGUGAGUGAACGGAGAUGAGAGGAGAUGGGGAUGGGUUUCACCCACCAGGCAGGCCUGUCUGCUGAUCCUAGAAGGACCAAAUCUAUGCCACCAUAGUGGCUCUGUAAUAGGCUAACAAAGCCAUGGUCCCUAAUCUCUUGUUUCUUGUGUUGUUCUCUCUCUCCCUCUCUCUCUCUCUCUCUCUCUCUCUCUCUCUCUCUCGUGUUUAUGUGUGUGUGUGUGUGUGUGUGUGUGUGUGUAUGUGUGUGUGUGUAUGUGUGUGUGUGUGUAUGUGCUGAGACAAGAACUGAUCUAGCCUAGGCUGACCUUGAACUCAUGAUCUUCUACAACCCAAGUGCUUAGAAUACAGUGUAUAUCACCACACCUAGGCACUCUCAAUCAUUUUUUAGACAUCUGAUCAUGUCCUUCUACCACCUAUUCAUUUGAUAAACAUUUAUUGGGUAAAUAUCAGGUACCAGUACAUGUUUUAAAGGGAAUAAAAGUAGUAGCAAGAAAAAACCAAAAGGGAUAUUCUUCUCAUGUGUCUUUCUCGAAAGGGACACUGAAAGCUGGCACUGGCACAUGCAGAAAGACCAUGGCUUCUGGGGUCAGCCUGGGCUACAUAGUGAGGUCCUGUCCCAAGUAGCAACAAAGGCAAGUGACGACCAGUAUGAUAGGAGUGCUUAGGUUUACAGAGCGGUGGUCGAAAUCACAAUGGCCUCUAUGGGCUCGUAGUUUGAAUGCUUAGCCCACCAGCGUGGGUGUGGAGGUUUCAGAAGCCCAUGUCAGUCCCAGUCUCGCUCCCUCUGCCUGCAGCAGGAUGUAGCUCUUGGCUCUAGCUGCCAGGACCCUCUGUGAUGACAAUGGACUAACCCUCUGAAACUUUAAACAAGCCCGCAAUUAAGUUCUUUCUUUUAUGAAUUGCCUUGGUCAUGGUGUCUCUUUGCUGUGAUCAGUGAUUAAGUUAACGGUGUAAUAAUCAAUAUUCACCUGGAGUGUCAUUUUCUGUUUUUUUUUUUUUUUUUUUUUUUUUUUUAAGAGUGUCAUUUUCUGAAUGUCAGUAAGUAAAACCAAUUUCUUCUUCUUCUUCUUCUUCUUCUUCUUCUUCUUCUUCUUCUUCUUCUUCUUCUCUCUCUCUCUCUCUCUCUCUCUCUCUCUCUCUCUCUCUCUGUCUCUCUGUUUCCUAGCUAUAGUUUCCCUAUGUAGCCCUGGCUGUCCUGUCCUGAAACUGUGCUUAGUAGACCAGGCUAACCUUGAACUCAGAGACCUACCUGCCUCUGCUGGUACUAAAGAUGUGUGCCACCACAGCCAACUCAAUCUCUUGUAUUUAAAAAAUAUAAAAUGGAGGGAUGAUAGGCCAGCAAGAUGGCUUGGUUGGUGAAGGCAUGUGGUGCCAAGCCUGAGGACCUAAGUUUAGCCUACAUGGCUAGACAGAACCAACACUGACUGCCACAUAGGCACACAUGUACACACAUACAUAAUACAUACAUAACACAUACAUACAUACGUGCGUACAUACAUACACACAUAUACAUGUAUAUAUAUAUGUGUAUAUAUAUACAUACACACAUAUGAUUCAUGUAUAUUUUUAAAGUAAUGCAUCCUUGGGGCUGGAAAAAUGGCUCGAUGGUUAAAAGUGCUGUGUUUUCCUGUAGAGGACCGAAGUUCAAUUCUCAGUUUCUACAUCGGGUGGCUUGGGUGGCUCACAACCUCUUGUAACUCUAGUUCCAGGGGAACCUGACACCUCUGGCCUCCGAUGGAACCUUUACAUACAUGCACAUGCCCACACACAGGUGUAUACAUACACACAAGACAAACAAGCAAACAAGUAAGAAAGAAGGAAAAGAAACCAUGUGUAUGCCAUAUUGUCCUGAGCUAUGUCCUGAAUCCCGACAGCACAUGUGCGCUCCUCUGCCUUCAAGGAACACUUGAAUCAGGAGCAGUGAUGCGAGCCUCUAAUUCCAGCGCUUGGGAGGCAGAAGCAGGUGAAUCUCUGCGAGUCCCAGGCCAGUCUAGAUUGCAUAGCAAGGUCCGAGCUAGCUUGGACUAUCCUAUAAAACCCUGUCUCCAAGUGGGAACAGGGGCUGGAGAGGUGGCUCAGUGUUUAAGAGCACUGACUGCUCUUCCAGAGGUCCUGAGUUCAAAUCCCAGCAACCACAUGGUGGCUCACAACCAUCUGUAGUGGGAUCUGAUGACCUCUUCUGGCAAGUCUGAAGACAGCUAUAGUGUACUCAUCUAUAAUAAAUAAAUAACUCUUAAAAAAAAAUAAAAUAAAGAAACAUUUUGGGGAGAAGCUUGCAGAGCAGUGUCUUUUUUUUUUCUUUAAAGAUUUAUUUAUUGUAUAUGAGUACACUGUAGCUGUCUUCAGAUGCACCAGAAGAGGUCAUCAGAUCUCAUUACAGAAGGUUGUGAGGCACCAUGUGGUUGCUGGGAAUUGAACUCAGGACCUCUGGAAGAGCAAUCAGUGCUCUUAACCGCUGAGCCAUCUCUCCAGCCCAGCAGUGUCCUUCUUAACAACUUCUAGUGACCACACAACUGUGUGCAGGGUGUAAGGGAGUCUUCUGAGACUUUGGCUCUCAGCUACUUGGUCAUGGGCUAGGUGGGGCAUCACAAAGACACAGAAGCCACUUCCUCCUCCUCCUUCCUCUUCCUCUUCCUCCUUCCUCUUCCUCCUCCUCUUCUUCCUGUUGUUCAUCCUCCUUCUCUUCUUCAUUUCUUCCCCCCCCCUUUUUUUUAAAGACAGGGUUUCUCUACAGAGCCCUGACUAGAACUCACAGCAAUCCACCUGCCUCUGCUUCCCAAGUGCUGGGGUUAAAUGUGUGUGCUGCCAAGCCUGGCUCACCUUCCAGAGUUGGAAGCUCUCAUCUGAUUACGCCUUUUCCAGAUACACUUCCACAGUCUGCCCCUCCCCUUUCUCCUUCUCUCCCCUUUUCUGCUGAGACAGGCUCAGGCUGGCUUUGAGUUCCUGUUCCUCCUCCUUCCACCUCCUAAACUCCUUUCCCAUCUUCUUUCUCUAAUUGGACAGUAAGCUCCCCGGGCAGGGGCAUUUCUCACACGCACCCCCUACAAUGCCUGCCAUCAACAGGCAUCCAGUGACCAUAAGCCGACCUGAUUAAUCCUCAGAGGGACAUGGAGUCGCCUGGAAAGCUCACUAAGUUUAAAAGCAUUAGUUAUUUUAUUCAUUUAUCACUUCAUGAAUUAAUUAAACAUCAACCUUCUAUUCUUGAGGUAGGUUACAAAUAGCAAAGAAAACAGAUCUAGUCUCUUCUUUUAUAAAGCUUAUAAUUGAAGAAGACACCUAGGAAUAAAAGAAAAAAAAUACUUAAUUACAUGUAUUUAAUUCUACUCAAUGGGAUAGAUUAAGUAGAAUCAAACACUAGCUAUGAAAAUGUGACAAAUUUUCUACGGGAAAAGUGUAGGAAGUUAUGAAUCUAUAAUUCUAUCUUUGAAUACAGUGAUUAUUUUUUUCCCCAUGCUGGGAAUCAAAACUAGGGCUUUACACAUGUUGGACAGACAUUAUACCCUUCUUGUAUGAGGUCUUUUCACCAUCCCACUUUGAGAAUAAUGACUUCGUUUUCCACAGUGAUGAGUAAGCCUCACCACCUAGGGGAGAGAGAACUAAUGUGGACAGGUAGUCUCUUCAACCUUUAAACACAGCUCACAUUGCUAGCACCAGAGAGGCCAAUUCUUUUUCCUUUUAAAUUAUUUUUGCUUUAUUAUUUUAUGUGUGAGGGUAUUUUGCCUCUGUGGUGUGUGUGUGUGUGUGUGUGUGUGUGUGUGUGUGUGUGUGUGUGUGUGUACAUAGUCCAUACAAGGCCCACUGAGGUCAGAAGAGGGCAUUGGAUCCGCUGGAACCGGAGUUAGAGAAGUUGUGAGCUUUCAAGCUGGUGCUGGGAAUCAAACCAGGAUCCUCUGCAAGUGCUCUUAACCAGUGAGCCAACCUCUCCAGCCCAAGAAACCGACUCUAUGUGAAGUCUUUCAGAAGCUAGAAGAGUGGGAGCCAUUCUCAACACACGUCAGUCACUACAAUUCUAAGCCUCAAGCCAAAGAUACCAGACAUAGAAAAGAGACCAACGUCCCUCAAGAACCUAGGAACAACCGAAAACAUUAAUACGAUCUGCUCAAGCGGCCAACACUGAGAAUGACACUCGGGUCACACAAGUUUCACCUCUGUCCAAACCCAAAAGAAAACAAUAAAACCUGAUCACUGUAAUCCCCCCAUUUGUGGACUAAAGAAGAAACGCUAUGACUUCUCAGAAGGCGGGAAAGUGUUUAAUAGCCAGGUGCGGGGGCACACAUUUUUAAACUCGACACUCAGGAGGUAGCCGAUCUUUGUACGUUUGAGGCCAGCACGGACUACAUAGCAAGUUCCUGGCAGCCUUGCCUCAAAAAUAAAAGAAAGAAAAAGCACUUAACAAAUGCAGUGCAUGUCCAUUAUCUUUACAAACUUUCAGGGGCUUGGGGUGAUGGCUCAAAGCCACUUUAACCUCUCCUUCAGAGAACCCCAGUUCGGUUUCCAGCACCCACAUCGAGUGACGCGAAAUCACCUGGAACUCUAAUGCCAUGGAAUCCAACACCCUCUUCUGAACUCCAAGGGUCCCUGCACUCAUGAACAUGUACCAGCACAGACAUACACACAGUAUCUUUUAAGAAAUUUCAAGUAAGCCAAGAAAGAGGUGGGAUUAAAAACAAACAAACAAACAAACAAACAAACAAA